CUUCAUUUCCAUUUCUUCAUUUCGUCUUCACCCUCAUUUCCGAGAGAGAGAGAGAGAGAGAGAGAGAGAGAGAGGGAGGGAGAGAGAAGCAAUUUUCGAGCUUGGAUCGCGAUUGGUUCGGGUUUUAAGGUGAAUUUGGGGAAAGAUCCAAGAUUUGCUUCCUACGGAAGAUGUUAUCUAGUGUGAUGAGGAUUACACGGGGUUCUUGAUAGGCGAAGACCCCUACGUUCCUGGCUACUCUCCUGAUCCUCCGGCUCAUCCCUCUCCGAAGUAUACUCCUUUUUGUGUGCAUACCUUUUGUAGCCUUAGUUUGGCUAGCAAGUUAUGAACCACUUGAACUUUCAUGUUUCGGACCUGAAGGGUCAAUCUUUGUAUAUAUACUCGUAGUUACCUUAGCUACCUUCUCUUAUUUCCGCUGCAAU